CCAAAAAAAAAAAACCUUUCAGGAACAUGUCACCUAAAUCUGGUCACUCUUCUUAUACCCACAAGGUGCUUCCCUUCAAUUUAUCUUCUGUUUUUGGGUCAAAUUUUUUAUUUUUGAUUUUUGAACCAGGGAUUCAAAGAUGGGAUGUCUCGAAUUUGAAUCUGGGAUUUGAAACGUCGAGGCAUUCUUCAGGUAUUUCUGUAUUCUCGAGAGGUUUGAAGCUGGGUUUGCAGGCUUGGUGUUCUUGAAAUGUUCUGCCAUUCAGGGUUCUUUAGUGGGAAAAACUAAAUGACCCUCGGGUGCUAACUGAUGUCAGUGAUGUUCCUGUUCAAAUGGAGUCGAAGAUGAGAGACUGAUGAAUGUCAUAAAUGAGUCUGUCAAGCUUGUGAUGGAACAGAAGUGUACUUUGAAGCUGAGCUGGUACAAUUCAUAAUGCUUAGAUGUAUAGUACCCUGUCUGCAAUGUGAUGCAUUUUCAGGCCUCAGAUUUGAACACUGAAGAAAACUUUUCAGAAAACUUCAUUGUGCAUUACUGGACUCGGAAUUGAGACUCCAUUGUACUGAUUAUAAGUUAUAACGACACUUUUCAGAAACAUAAAAUUCUUCUCAACAAAAUGUUCCUGAAAUAAUCAUUAGUUCACUGGAAUACUUUUGAGUUUGUGUCAUUAUUCACCGAGAAUUGUCAUUUUUGUGAAAUGUUAAAUUUAGUGCAGAUGGCAUUUAGCCAAUAUCUCAUAAA